GACAGGUAUGUAAGUACAGGUAUGUUACCUCUUCUCUAUAGACAGGUAUGUAGUACAGGUAUGAUACCUCUUCUCUAUAGACAGGUAUGUAGUACAGGUAUGUUACCUCUUCUCUAUAGACAGGUAUGUAGUACAGGUAUGUUACCUCUUCUCUAUAGACAGGUAUGUAGUACAGGUAUGUUACCUCUUCUCUAUAGACAGGUAUGAUACCUCUUCUCUAUAGACAGGUAUGUAGUACAGGUAUGUUACCUCUUCUCUAUAGACAGGUAUGUAGUACAGGUAUGUUACCUCUUCUCUAUAGACAGGUAUGUAGUACAGGUAUGUUACCUCUUCUCUAUAGACAGGUAUGUAGUACAGGUAUGUUACCUCUUCUCUAUAGACAGGUAUGUAGUACAGGUAUGUUACCUCUUCUCUAUAGACAGGUAUGUAGUACAGGUAUGUUACCUCUUCUCUAUAGACAGGUAUGUAGUACAGGUAUGUUACCUCUUCUCUAUAGACAGGUAUGUAGUACAGGUAUGUUACCUCUUCUCUAUAGACAGGUAUGUAGUACAGGUAUGUUACCUCUUCUCUAUAGACAGGUAUGUAGUACAGGUAUGUUACCUCUUCUCUAUAGACAGGUAUGUAGUACAGGUAUGUUACCUCUUCUCUAUAGACAGGUAUGUAGUACAGGUAUGUUACCUCUUCUCUAUAGACAGGUAUGUAGUACAG